rnacentral:rRNA from 1 species
GACGAACGCUGGCGGCGUGCCUAAUACAUGCAAGUAGAACGCAGUUGCGAACGGGUGAGUAACGCGUAGGUAACUGCCUCAUAGUGGGGGAUAACUAUUGGAAACGAUAGCUAAUACCGCAUAGUGUGAGAUGGACAUGCGUUGUAUUGGCUAGUUGGUGAGGUAAAGGCUCACCAAGGCGACGAUACAUAGCCGACCUGAGAGGGUGAUCGGCCAAACUGGGACUGGGGGACGGGCCAGACGCCUACGGGAGGCAGCAGGAGAGAAGCGUCGGAAAUUGAAGGAAGUCUGAACAAGCAACGCCGCGUGGGUGAAGAAGGUAUUCGGAUCGUAAAGCUCUGUUGUUAGGGAAGCGGUAACUAACGAGAAAGGGACGGCUAACUACGUGCCAGCAGCCGCGGUAAUUC